UACAGAGGUCUCAAGCGUUGUUCGGAUUCAUUGGGCGUAAAGGGUGCGUAGGCGGCGCGGUAAGUCGGGUGUGAAAUCUCGGGGCUUAACUCCGAAACUGCAUUCGAUACUGCCGUGCUUGAGGACUGGAGAGGAGACUGGAAUUUACGGUGUAGCGGUGAAAUGCGCAGAUAUCAGGAGGAACACCGGUGGCGAAGGCGGAUCUCUGGGCCUGUCCUGACGCUGAGGCGCGAAAGCUAGGGGAGCGAACAGG
rnacentral:rRNA from 1 species